rnacentral:rRNA from 1 species
GAUGAACGCUAGCGGCAGGCCUAACACAUGCAAGUCGAGGGGUAGCAGGAUUAAGCUUGCUUAAUUGCUGACGACCGGCGCACGGGUGCGUAACGCGUAUGCAACCUACCUUAUACUGGGGUAUAGCCCGGAGAAAUUCGGAUUAAUCCCCCAUAGUACUAAUGAAUCGCAUGGUUUAUAGUUAAAGCAUUGCGGUAUAAGAUGGGCAUGCGUCCUAUUAGCUAGAUGGUGAGGUAACGGCUCACCAUGGCUACGAUAGGUAGGGGCCUGAGAGGGUGGUCCCCCACACUGGUACUGAGACACGGACCAGACUCCUACGGGAGGCAGCAGUGAGGAAUAUUGGUCAAUGGGCGCAAGCCUGAACCAGCCAUGCCGCGUGUAGGAAGAAUGCCCUAUGGGUUGUGAACUGCUUUUAUUUGGGAAUAAACCUCUUUACGUGUAGAGAGCUGAAGGUACCAAAUGAAUAAGCACCGGCUAACUCCGUGCCAGCCGCCGCCGUAA